GGUCGAUCCUGCUGUCCCAAUGCUCACUGGCCACAACCAAGAUGAGCCAGUCAGUAGUUUUCCAUGUGACCAGCAGACGGCAUCAGCCAGGUUAUCUUUGGAAACACAGGAUAGACCCACCUCCUUAUGUUCCCCAGGUACCAAGCAGACAGCACCAGCCAGCUUGUCCUUGGAAACGGAGAAUAGACCCACCUCCUUAUGUCGUCCAGGCAGCAAG